CCGCCUCUUUGUUUCGUACGGCAACAUUAACCUCUUUUGGUAUAUACCUGUCUGCAGUGCCCACGUCCAAAGCCAUCAAGCUCCAUCACAUUCGUUUAAUCAGAGUAAUCACGGUUGCGAAGUCGAUUAACGCUCUUCUUUCUCCAACCGUGUUUCUCUGGUUAAACGACUGUGCUGGAACUCUCUUUCACGUCCGACGGGGGGCUUUUUCUUUCAUGUGCUACUGGGUUUCGGAGAAGGAGAUAGAUCUCUGUCUCUGUCUCUCUCCUAUUGCUUUGAAUCUGCUUAACUUGUUCUUUUCUUUUGCCUUUUUGGAUAUUUUUCUGACCAAACACGUGGAUUCAGAAGUGGGGUGAUUGAUUGUCCUUCCUCAUGUGUUACAACCAUCCAGUAGAUGGACUUGUCACCCUCAAUGUUUUGGAAUGAGUGCGAAGAUGAAUAUUUCCAAUUGAUGAUGUUUAGCCCCUCCAAAUUGAUCCUCAUAAUGGUUAGGUCUUUCAUUCUUUAAACAAUCAUUUGGGCCAUUUUUGUUCAAAUCUUAUUAGUGAAUGUUACUAUUCAUAGUUUUUUCCUCUAAACUUUGUUUUAUUCGGUUUGGUAUAGAUAGAGAUGAAAUUGCAUAAGAUAAUGAGGACAAGUGCAAGUAGAGACUCAUAGUUAAAGCUGAAAAUGUUGGGUAACCUAAGAAAAGAAUUAAAAGUGGCUUUUGGGGUGGUAAAAAUAAAGAAGUUAAAAAGCAUGCAAGUCGGUAUGUACAAUACUGUCAAUACAUCACCUAGCACUCUUAAUGGCAACACAAAAUCCACCUCAAACAAUACCUUUUGUAAGCCUAAUUGAACAACCAAAACAGGGUGCAAGACAAACUCGAAAGCAAAGUUAGUUGGUAAAUAGUGGUAUAUACUGGCCAUAAGCAUGCUUUAAGCCUAAUCAAUCUCCUCUCCGGUUGCUGUUACUUGUUGGUUGUUUAUUUGUAUUUUUGUUUUGAAUAAGAGGUUUUCUUCUCUCUAUAUCUACCCUCGUGAGCGAGGAGGAAUAAUUAGGUGUGAAAGUUUAUUUCUCACUGCCUAGAUAGUUCGGUGUGAAGGGUUAUCUCUUAUGGUCGGUUUAAAUAAAUUUUGUUAGGAAAUUUAGUUACCCAUGUCUUAGAUCUAGUCUGCUCGGAGCAAAUCUGCUCUUUAAUUGUAUUUGUACAUGGGUUAGCGAAAGAUUGAAGUCAUAGAUAGCACUUGAUUGUAAGAUUUUUAUUUUUUAUUUUUUAUUUAUUUAUUUAUUUUUGUAUCUGUGACUUUGUAACCUCAUAGCACGUGGCUAUAAUUAUGGAGAGCUUUAUGUUUUGUAUUGUAAGAGCUUUAUACUCGUGAUUACAAAUAUUUUUUUGAAUGGAAAUCUGAGGAUUUCAUUGAGCAUAAAGCUUUUACAGAGUAGCUCAAAAAGCUCUUAGGGUACAAAGUAUAAAGUUCUGCAAAAUCAUAGCCACAUGCUAUGAGGUUACAAAGUUAUAAAAAAAAAAAAAAAAAUCUUACAAUUAAGUGCUAUGUAUGAUUUCAAUAUUUCGUUAGUCUAUGUACAAAUACAGUUAAAGAGUAGAUCUGCUCCGAGCAGACUAGAUCUAAGAUAUGAGUAGCCAAAUUUCUUAAUACAUUUUAUUUAAACCGACCAUGAGAGAUAACACUCACACCGAACUAUCCAGGCCAUGAAAAAUAACCCCUCACGGCCUGGAUAGCUCACUCUAGAGAGAAGAAAUCUCUUAUUCAAAACAAAAAAACACAAACAACCAGUAAGCAGCAACCACAAAAACCUCGCAACCACUGAAACCUCUUAUUUAAAACAAAAGGACAUUUCAUGUUAUUUUAUUCAUUGAAUGUUGCCUUAUAUAG